CGGAGCGUAGCGCAGCCUGGUAGCGCACCUCGUUCGGGACGAGGGGGUCGGNGGUNCGAAUCCUCUCGCUCCGNCCA
rnacentral:tRNA from 1 species